ensembl:lncRNA
CUGUUGGCAGGUCUGAACCAUGGUGAGGUCAUUGCUGAGAUGACCUCCUGGCUGGAGCGCAUGGAGGGCAGACUGAGAGAGGAGAGCUCCAGAGAGCACCACGUCCUGAAUUGCUCUGAGCUCACCACACUUUUACAGCAGCUAAAGGACUGUAAAGCAGAAAUUACCAGCCGGCAACUAUGUGUGGAUUUCCUCAACCAGUCUGUUGAGGAGGUGGGCUUCCUGGAUGACCUGGGCAGUCGUAAAGAGCGUUUGUGCCUUGCUGAGCAAUUGGGGGACCUUAAUCUCCGCUGGAUCCUCCUGCAGAGGAAGAUUGACAGCCAAAUACAUGAAAUUGAGCACAAAAAGCAUGACUGCAAAAAAAGAGAGGGACGUCUGCAGCAACUGCGCACCUGGGUCUCAGAACAGCAAGAGAAGACGAGUGUUACUGAGAGGCCAGCAAGCUGGACACAGAUAGAGCAGGCCUUAAGGGAUUAUAAGGUCUGUAUUUGAACUUAUAUAACAAGACCAGUGUUUUUUUAAGUCAGUAUUAGAUAAUUAAAAUGUGCAUGUGCUUGUUGAAGUAAGGAGACAGUUAGGAAGUUUGUCCUUGUUUACUUGCAGGAGGAGGAGGAGAAGCUGAAUUUGAAAUCAGUUGAGCUGCUGCAGUUGAGAAAUCUUCACCUACUGGGUCAGCAUGAUGGGCAGCACCCCAUGGAUCAGGCAUUCUGCUCGGAGGUGGAGAGCACCAUUCAACAGUGCCAAUCUUUGAGGCAGCAGAUGUGUACCAUACAGGCUAAUCUGGUCAUGCUGAAGGAGCAGUGGACAGACUUUGACACUGAGCUGAGGGAUACAGCUCUGCACACAGCAGGCAUGAGCUAUAAGCUUGAGCUCAGCAAAACCCAUAUGUUUUCACUCCAGCAGAGCAAAGAACAUGUUGAAGAACUCCAGGAGCUUCAGAUGGAGCUAGAAAGGUCACAGGAGACUUGGACCAAAUUAUCUAGUUUUUGCUCAGAACUGAAAGGCAAAAUCCACCCUGCUGCAGCUCUGCUACUGUCUGACCGCCUGGACAGAGAGAAAACACGGUGGACAGUGAUGGUCCAGGAUGUGGGUGCGGAACUACAGAAGGCUCAAAGUGCCCUGAAUCUCUGGCGGGACUACAGCAUGCUCUAUGGAGACUGCUCUGUGCGUUUGAGCCGCCAAUGGCAGAAGUAUGAAGUGCUCUUUAGCCCCCUGGCCAAAGAGGAGAACAGCAUGGAGCUGCUUCAUAGCAGGCUUAAUGCCAUCAGCGUGAGUGAUUCAGCCGCACUUACUCAGCAAACAAACCAGGAAAACAUGCUGGAUAGAAACAAUAAAAUCUAAAGAUUUGGAAAACAGAAGC